GCUCGAAAGUCAACCCGCCUCCAACGCCCACACUCCGCGGCGGUUCCGAGGGAAGUAGCGGCAGCUUGCCGGAAAGGAACUUGGGCACAUCUAUGAAGAGAGGACUAGCAAGGACCUGAGGAGAAGCAGUCAAGGAGGUGGAAGAGAGUUCCUAGAAAGAGGUGUUAAAUUCAGUAUCGAAAAAGACCAUGGACGAAUAUUGUAGUUGGAUUUAGGAAGGAGAUCAUGAAAGUUCAAAAUCAGAAUGUCAGGGACCUAGAAUAGGAAGCCAGCGGGAGCGUAGUGGAGAACUGGGAGAUAGGGACAGCCCUGUGAGGAGGAUGCCGCAUCGGGGGAGGGGUUGCCUUUUUUUAUCAAGGGAGAGUCCCGUAACCAUAUGGGUGGUAGAGAAAGGCAACAGCCAGGGAAUUCUGGAUCCCUUGGAGCCAAGGACUGGAACUGACAUGCGAGACCUCUACCAACUGAGGGUUUUUUGAGCACACUCCUUUGCCAAGAUUUGGUGAAAAGUCUUUCACUCUGCAAUUGUGUCUUAGAAAUCCUUUUAUCAUGAUCGUGCUUGGCUGGAUGCUUUUUGUUGGCCUUGCAUGUUACAUGGGCACGUUUCCGGAGUUUAUGACUCCAACUCUGAGGUGGAAAGAGAGGUGGCCUGUUCAGGAGAACAAGGCCCGACGGAACAGCCAGGCUUUGGAUGAAGAUCUGCAACUAUCCCACUGGAAACAAGCAAAGAUGAUCCUGGUGAAGCAAUGCAGCUCUGAAGCCCUCCUGACCCACUGGCUGUACAGUUCCUGUUGUUGGUUUCACAUAAAGUAAUUGCACAUUA